UACAGAGGUCCCAAGCGUUGUUCGGAUUCACUGGGCGUAAAGGGUGCGUAGGCGGUCGGGUAAGUCUGAUGUGAAAUCUCACAGCUUAACUGUGAAACUGCAUUGGAUACUAUCCGGCUCGAGGAAUGGAGGGGAGACUGGAAUACUUGGUGUAGCAGUGAAAUGCGUAGAUAUCAAGUGGAACACCAGUGGCGAAGGCGAGUCUCGUGGACAUUUCCUGACGCUGAGGCA
rnacentral:rRNA from 1 species